rnacentral:rRNA from 1 species
AUUGAACGCUGGCGGCAGGCCUAACACAUGCAAGUCGAGCGGAUGAAGGGAGCUUGCUCCUGGAUUCAGCGGCGGACGGGUGAGUAAUGCCUAGGAAUCUGCCUGGUAGUGGGGGAUAACGUCCGGAAACGGGCGCUAAUACCGCAUACGUCCUGAGGGAGAAAGUGGGGGAUCUUCGGACCUUACGCUAUCAGAUGAGCCUAGGUCGGAUUAGCUAGUUGGUGGGGUAAAGGCCUACCAAGGCGACGAUCCGUAACUGGUCUGAGAGGAUGAUCAGUCACACUGGAACUGAGACACGGUCCAGACUCCUACGGGAGGCAGCAGUGGGGAAUAUUGGACAAUGGGCGAAAGCCUGAUCCAGCCAUGCCGCGUGUGUGAAGAAGGUCUUCGGAUUGUAAAGCACUUUAAGUUGGGAGGAAGGGCAGUAAGUUAAUACCUUGCUGUUUUGACGUUACCAACAGAAUAAGCACCGGCUAACUUCGU